rnacentral:rRNA from 1 species
CCAGACUCCUACGGGAGGCAGCAGUGGGGAAUAUUGGGCAAUGGGCGCAAGCCUGACCCAGCAAUGCCGCGUGAAGGAAGAAGGCCUUCGGGUUGUAAACUUCUUUUAUCAGGGACGAAGGAUGUGACGGUACCUGAUGAAUAAGCUCCGGCUAACUACGUGCCAGCAGCCGCGGUAAUACGGAGGAUGCGAGCGUUAUCCGGAUUUAUUGGGUUUAAAGGGUGCGUAGGCGGAUCGUUAAGUCAGUGGUCAAAUGGGGGGCCCCAACCCAUCCCCGCCAUUGAAACUGGCGAUCUUGAGUGGAAGAGAAGUAUGCGGAAUGCGUGGUGUAGCGGUGAAAUGCAUAGAUAUCACGCAGAACCCCGAUUGCGAAGGCAGCAUGCCGGCUUCCGACUGACGCUGAAGCACGAAAGCGUGGGGAUCGAACAGGAUUAGAUACCCCCGUA